rnacentral:rRNA from 1 species
AUCUGGGAGGAUUGACAGAUUGAGAGCUCUUUCUUGAUUCGGUGGAUGGUGGUGCAUGUCCGUUCUUAGUUGGUGGAGCGAUUUGUCUGGUCAAUUCCGAUAACGAACGAGUCACUAGUAUAUAAAUAGGUGCGUGGUUCUCUGCACCUUGUGCACUUCUUAGAGGGACAAGCGACUCCUAGAUGCACGAAACAGAGCAAGAACAGGUCCUUGAUGCCCUUAGA